UAACACUGGGGAAGGGUGCAUAUUAUAAAUGCACAUUCAGACAUACACAAUCCUUUCAAAUUAGUUUCGCAGCUAACGGGGACGUGGGGGCGGGAAUGACAAGAGCGAAGAUACACAUGCUUGAAAAGCCACUCCAGAAGACCACUGCAUAAAUUCACUGACAGUGCGGACGAAAUGCACAAGAUGCGAACACAAUUAGCUGCAACGCGUGAAUCAAUGAACCCUAUCUGUGUGGGAAAGAACAACCAUGCAUCCCUCUCUCCGGAAAUCCCCAGCAUUUGACAUGUCACCAAGACGCAGAUACAGCGGCAGCGCAAUCCCAGAUUUCUUAACCGGUGUUAUCAAGAGAACAGUGAUCCGUUUUAAGCUCGUUAAUUAAAGUAUCGCUUCAUUUUAAGCCUCUGUCGGCUUUUGCUUGAACUGCUUAAGUUGCCGGUACAGGUAACAGUGUCAGUUAGAAAUCAGACGCUGAGAG